CCAGCAGCCAAGACUAUCAAGGAAAUAGGGAUGUUAGAAGAUGACGUAACACUUCAAAUGAGGAUCUGGAACAGCAAGGGUAAAUAAGACAUAUCAUGAAUGCAUGUUGUACAAGAAGCAGAAACUUCGAUGCCUUCAUGAUAAACUGCCCCAAGAGGAGGCUUAAUCGCAUAUCAGUCUGCAUGCAUCUGUACCUCCUGGAAGGCAAGAUUCGGUGAAAGGCACACUUUGGACGGAUUUCCUCAUUUUAGACCCAGCCCACAACCAGCAUCCUAGACAUACCAAGUAAAUGUACUCUCCAUGUUGUCUGCAGGAAAGCCAACACAUGCGAUUUGAAAUUUAGGGAUGAAGCUCUUCAAAGCUCCACAUUUUUGGGGGUCGGCGCAAGCGUUAAUUGUGCAUGGCUGGGAAGCAGUGACUGUAACUACUCUCCAACCUUUAAACAAGCUCACUUGAAGCACUGUUUACCACGAAUGGCAUUUCACUGGGAAUAUUCUGCUUGUGAGAGCCAUCCUCUUCAUUAGUGCAAGCACUACCUAGAAGGGACUAGCCAGGCUGUUGUGCAAAUUACCCGGUGUAUAGGCCAAUAGACUUUUCAACUAUCAAGAAUCUUUACUUCAUGUCGGUGCGUAUAGGAGAGGCACAUUUGGGCUGACUCUGGCUUCUCAACUGUACUCGGUGUUCGGCAUGGAUGUCGGAGCACAAGCUAUCGAAUGUGCCAACUACAAUGCUCCUAUAAAUGGUCCUCUUACAAUAUGAAAGUCAAGGUGCGACAUGAAAGGCCGUACCAUCAAAGCCUUAACAAUGAAAUCUCUCGCAAGCAGCUUCUGGUUGUCCAUGCGCUUCCUUUUUCUCUACUUAGGGGUCUGUUAUUCUGUCUGUCUGAAUUUCUCACUAUCUGCAUUCGCCUGUCCAUUUAUCUGCCUGUAUAUCUCUCCAUGUUUGUUUCGUUGUCUGUCCACGUUUCUCUGCAUGCCUUAGUCUAUACGUUUGUCUGCCAGCAUUUCAUUGUGUCCCUGUGUAGUCUUUCGUCAGUCUGACUGUCCGUUCAUGUGCCCCUGUCUGUUAGUAUAUCCUUCUAUGUUAAUAAUUUGUCUGUCUCGGCAUUUAACUGCGUGCAAAUGUCUGUCUAUUGUUGUUUUCUUGUUUAUCUGUCUACGUUUGUCUUGGCCUCCGUCUGUCUCCAUUUUUCUGUUAUGACUCGGCCUUCUCUGUUCGAUACUCUGUUGUUUCUGUUCGUCUGUGUGCAUCUGUGUCUCUAUCCUGCCCGUGAGUCCGUCUCAUUGUAACUGGUUUUUGUUCUAACUAUCAGUCUUUCCAUUUCUUUCUCUGCACCGCUCUCUCCAUCUCUUUGUGUGUUCUUUCCACUGCCCAUCUGUUUGCGUUUGUACAUUUGUACUACCCGUCAGUUCCUCUCUCCGUAUGUGGCUUUUCUGUGUAUCUAUAGGUCUAUUUCUGUUUCUGUCUUUCUGUUCAUCUCUCCGUUCGUUCUUUUCACUGUCAAUCUGUAUGCGUCUGUCUUUAUCAUGCCCAUCGGUUCGUCUCUCAGUAACUGGUUUUUCGGUGUAUCCUUGUGUCCAUUUGUGUGUUUCUCUGUAUGACUGUUUACCUCUUCAACCUUUGUUUUCACCGUCAAUCUGCGUCCAUGCCUCUAUACUUCAGUCUAUUAUUAGGUGUCUGUGUUUCUCUAUCCAUCCGUUCGACAGUCUUUGCACCUAUCCACCGUUCUGUCUUUUAGGGCGAAGCUCCUUGGGCCGUGGGUCGUUUCCUUCUCUAUAAGAGUAGUAUGUAGCCACCUCCAGUUUGAGUUGCUCAUUAGGUGGCAUUGUAUAUGUGCUUGGGAAUAAUAUAACUUGAUGGCAUUUGUGGUUUACACAGCAUAUCCGCGGAGUAAAUGAUGAGUCUGGCGAAGCAUCCGCGCGUCCGUCCGUGCAUCCGCUGUGCGUCCGCUUGCCCGCCCGUCUGCGCGUCCGUCCA